rnacentral:rRNA from 1 species
UACAGAGGUCCCGAGCGUUGUUCGGAUUCAUUGGGCGUAAAGGGUGCGUAGGCGGUUUGCUAAGUUUGAUGUGAAAUCCCGGGCUUAACCCCAGGACUGCAUUGAAUACUGGCGGACUAGAGUACUGGAGAGGAAACUGGAAUUUACGGUGUAGCAGUGAAAUGCGUAGAGAUCGUAAGGAAGACCAGUGGCGAAGGCGAGUUUCUGGACAGUUACUGACGCUGAGGCACGAAGGCCAGGGGAGCAAACGGG